AAUAGUUAAGAGGUUUAAGCAUAUUUACAUCUACAUAUAUGAUCGAUUUAACCUUUCUUGUAACAUCCAUACCUUAUAUAAUACUAUAUAGUUGAGUUACUACAUAAUUUUAUCCUGAACAGGGUAUAUUAAGUUUGUCACGAAGUUUGUAACACCCAGAAGGAAACGUCGGAGGCCCUAUAAAGUAUAUAUAUAUGAAUGAUCAAUGUUAUUUUCUCUUCAUGAAGCUGCUCAUUUGUCGGAACGAUAUCGAUAUCGGACCACUAUAUCAUAUAGCUGUCAUACAAACUGAACGAUCGGUAUCAAGGGCUUGUAUGGAAAAUUUUCGCAUUUUACUACAUAUCUAUUUUACUACAAAUUUGGUGUGAGUUAUUGUUCAUAGAAAUAAUUUAAUCUCCGAAAAAAUUGUUCAGAUCGGUUCACUAUAGCAUAUAGCUGCCAUACAAACCGAACAAUCGGAACCAAUGGCUUGUAUGGAAAAUUUUCGCAUUUGACGUGGUAUCUUCACGAAAUUUGACAUGGAUUACUGCUUAAGGUAAUAAUAUAAUCUCCGAAAAAAUUGUUCAGAUCGGUUAACUAUAUAUCCUUAAUGUUUCUAGCAAACAACCCGGCUAAAAAGAAUUAGUAAAAUGUUUU